rnacentral:rRNA from 1 species
AAUGAACGCUGGCGGCAGGCCUAACACAUGCAAGUCGAACGCUCCGCAAGGGGAGUGGCGCACGGGUGAGUAACGCGUGGGGAUAUGCCCUUCGGUUCGGAAUAACACAGGGAAACUUGUGCUAAUACCGGAUACGAUCUACGGAUGAAAGAUUCAUCGCCGAAGGAGUAGCCCGCGUAGGAUUAGCUUGUUGGUGAGGUAAUGGCUCACCAAGGCGACGAUCCUUAGCUGGUCUGAGAGGAUGAUCAGCCACACUGGGACUGAGACACGGCCCAGACUCCUACGGGAGGCAGCAGUGGGGAAUAUUGGACAAUGGGCGAAAGCUUGAUCCAGCCAUGCCGCGUGAGUGAUGAAGGCCUUAGGGUUGUAAAGCUCUUUCGCCGGGGAAGAUAAUGACGGUACCCGGAAAAGAAGCCUCGGCUAACUCCGUGCCAGCCGCCGCAGUAACAC